CGGCGAGUAGCGCAACUGGUUUGGGACCAGUGGGUCGGAGGUUCGAAUCCUCUCUCGCCGA
rnacentral:tRNA from 2 species